rnacentral:rRNA from 1 species
CAACUUUCAACAACGGAUCUCUUGGCUCUCGCAUCGAUGAAGAACGCAGCGAAAUGCGAUAAGUAAUGUGAAUUGCAGAUUUUCAGUGAAUCAUCGAAUCUUUGAACGCACCUUGCGCUCCUUGGUAUUCCGAGGAGCAUGCCUGUUUGA